GACGAACCGUGCGAACGUUGUUCGGAAUCACUGGGCUUAAAGGGCGCGUAGGCGGUUUGCCAAGUCAGGGGUGAAAUCCUGCAGCUCAACUGUAGAAGUGCCUUUGAUACUGGCGAACUCGAGGGAGGUAGGGGUGGGUGGAACUUAUGGUGGAGCGGUGAAAUGCGUUGAUAUCAUAAGGAACGCCGGUGGCGAAAGCGACCCACUGGAUCUCUUCUGACGCUGAGGCGCGAAAGCUAGGGGAGCAAACGGG
rnacentral:rRNA from 1 species